rnacentral:rRNA from 1 species
CUGUAAUGGCAGGUCAGCAUACUGCCGUGAAUACGUUCCCGGGCCUUGUACACACCGCCCGUCACACCAUGAGAGUUGGGAAUACCCGAAGCCUGUGAGCUAACAUUUAUGAGGCAGCAGUCGAAGGUAGAAUCAAUGAUUGGGGUGAAGUCGUAACAAGGUAUC